GAUGGGGAGGGGGGGAGGGCAGCCAGGGGAGCUGUUCUGGGAGGGAGGGACUUGGCUAGGUCUCUCAAGCCUUCUUCACUCUCCAAACUUUCACCAAACUCUUAGCCCCCGCCUCCCCGAAACCAAAACACAACAAGCUCUGGAGGAGCAACAAGCGACGCGGCGGGCGGACUCGCGGCGGCACAGAGCCUCAGGAGGCUGAUGCAACUUUCCCUUUAAGAAAGCCACCUGGGCGCACCGCGGUGCGGACCCAGCACGCCUGGGUCGGGGGCUGCAGCAUGCUCUUGAGGUCUGUUGUCUGAAAAGUGCUGCAAGCAGAGCCUGUAAGUGUGGUCCAGGUCUCCAGAGAGCCCAACCUACUGCCACCAUGGUAGGAAAAGGUGCCAAAGGGAUGUUGGUCAUGCCCCUUCCUUUGCCUUCUGCCUCAAAUCACAGGAGAGAUGGUGGUGAGGCCCUUCAAGAAACAAGGCCUGGGGAAGGUUCUUGAGGGAGCAAGACUCAAUGAUGGAUGGAGCAGGUUGGCACUGGAAGCAAGUGCCAAGAGAAAGAUGCCAGAUCCUAUACCAAGGACUAUGGUUGUAUCUUUUUCUCUUAGGAUCUUGCCUCUGGGACAAGCCAGACUGGAAAGCUGUCAGGGGAGGAAGCCAGUGACAGAGGAUGGCUCCUCCCUCAGUGGCUCCCUCCGCAUCAAUGCCUUCUGUUGCUUCCCUCAUCCAAUUAAAGACUGAUUGGCCUGGGGUCUCUACUGAGCCGCCUCCAAACUAACCCUGUGUCUGGGAUUCAAAGUGCCUGGUCCAGAGGAGUAGUUUGGGAGAGAGCACUGGGAGGUUCUGCUUUGGGCUCAAGACCCUCUCUCUAGCCCCUCAAGCCUUCCCUGGAAUGACCCCACUAUU